AUGUUGUCUUGUUUUGUUCAUUCGUGCAACGACAGGACUAAAGAAGCUAAAUUAACUGAAAAAAUAUACUCCUUCCGUCCGGAAUUACUUGUCGCAGACAUGGAUGUAUCUAGACAUAUUUUUAGUUCUAGAUACAUCCAUUUCUAUCCAUUUUUGCAACAAGUAAUUCGGGAUGGAGGGAGUAUAUCACAGAAAAUAAUGCUUCCAACUUCUAAAUUUUAUGAACUUCAUCGUAGCAAGUGGCUGUUUAUUCUGUGUUUCUUGUUGUCUUUAGCAACCUCAAAUGAUUUUCCUUACCCCUAUCCACUUAGUUCAAAAAUCAAGCAUGAACUGACUUUAAGAAAAACAAAAAUGCAUACAGCUUUCAGGCACAUAUAG
rnacentral:rRNA from 1 species